rnacentral:rRNA from 1 species
UGCCAGCCGCCGCGGUAAUACGUAGGGGCCAAACGUUGUCCGGAUUUAUUGGGCGUAAAGGGCUCGUAGGCGGUUCAACAAGUCGGUCGUGAAAGCCCGGGGCUCAACUCCGGGACGCCGGUCGAUACUGUUGUGACUAGAGUUCGGUAGAGGUGAGUGGAAUUCUCAGUGUAGCGGUGGAAUGCGCAGAUAUUGAGAGGAACACCAUUAGCGAAGGCGGCUCACUGGGCCGAUACUGACGCUGAGGAGCGAAAGCGUGGGGAGCAAACAGGAUUAGAUA